rnacentral:rRNA from 1 species
UACGUAGGGGGCAAGCGUUGUCCGGAAUUAUUGGGCGUAAAGAGCGUGUAGGCGGUCCGGUAAGUCAGCUGUGAAAGUCAAGGGCUCAAACCCUUGAAUGCCGGUUGAUACUGUCGAGCUAGAGUCCGGAAGAGGCGAGUGGAAUUCCCGGUGUAGCGGUGAAAUGGCGCAGAUAUCGGGAGGAACACCAAUGGCGAAGGCAGCUCGCUGGGACGGUACUGACGCUGAGACGCGAAAGCGUGGGGAGCAAACAGGG